UUCAUAAUAUUUUCUACAGCAAAGUUGUGUUGGAUAUAACAGAAGGUGUUCAUGAUGUGGGAACAGUGAAGUGGGAGCUUGCUCUUUGCCUUCUUCUAGCAUGGAUACUUGUUUGUUUCUGUCUUGCUAAAGGAAUCAAGUCUGGUGGAAAGGCUGCAUAUUUCACAGCAUUUUUCCCAUACAUAGUGCUGAUGAUACUGUUGAUUAGAAGUUUAACACUACCAGGGUCUCUCAAUGGAAUCAUCUAUUAUUUCAAACCACAGUGGCAUAAACUUGGUGAAGCCAAAGUAUGGGGUGAUGCAGCAAUCCAGAUAUUUUUCUCUCUUUCACCAUGUUGGGGUGGUCUCAUCACUCUAGCUAGCUACAACAAAUUCCACAACAACUGCUUUUUGUAAGUACUUAUACUUAUC